rnacentral:snoRNA from 1 species
AACCUCAUUCUGAUAAGAAUGGACAUAGUUGAUGACGGUGACUAGAAAUUGUUAAUGUGUAUAAAUUAAGACACAGUGAAUUUGUUGCGAUGGUAACAAUGAGAUCUGUAACAGUU